AGUGAACGCUGGCGGUAGGCCUAACACAUGCAAGUCGAACGGCAGCACAGUAAGAGCUUGCUCUUACGGGUGGCGAGUGGCGGACGGGUGAGGAAUACAUCGGAAUCUACUUUUUCGUGGGGGAUAACGUAGGGAAACUUACGCUAAUACCGCAUACGACCUACGGGUGAAAGCAGGGGAUCUUCGGACCUUGCGCGAUUGAAUGAGCCGAUGUCGGAUUAGCUAGUUGGCGGGGUAAAGGCCCACCAAGGCGACGAUCCGUAGCUGGUCUGAGAGGAUGAUAGGCCACACUGGAACUGAGACACGGUCCAGACUCCUACGGGAGGCAGCAGUGGGGAAUAUUGGACAAUGGGCGCAAGCCUGAUCCAGCCAUACCGAGUGGGUGAAGAAGGCCUUCGGGUUGUAAAGACCUUUUGUUGGGAAAGAAAAGCAGCAGGUUAAUACCCAGCUGUUCUGACGGUACCCAAAGAAUAAGCACCGGCUAACUUCGUG
rnacentral:rRNA from 1 species